rnacentral:lncRNA from 1 species
CUAACGGCCUUGGCAGCUUGUUUCAAGGUGGGGCAAACGCAAUCUGGGUCUUCUGGCGAAGCUCGCUGCAGCACUUCUGGAGUAGCGAGGGUCUCUGCGGGUUCUCGAUGUCGUCUUCCUAAUCGAACUCAUCGUCGAGGGAAGGACCACCACCAUGGCCUUGUCUCAUUUGCUUGCGCAUCAAUCGCUGGCAAGCUCUAAGGUGUUGUUCUUUCUGAAACUCCCUCUGACAUUUCUGUCUUGGGCCUAUGGGGUUGCUGGCGUCAUAGUUCGACGACAGUGCGGUAGAUGGAAGCGUUGGUGAGGAGGAAGCAGAGAGCGAGAGAUGUGCAGACGAGGACGAGUUUGUUCGCCAUUUUUUGCUACUAACUUAGGUAUAUUUUUUGUUUGAGUGAAGAGUGAAAUGAAGGGGUUAUGGGUAUUUAUGGACAAGUGAGGAGUUUGGCAUGGAGAUCACGUGUAUGAAUGCAUGCACAGCAAUAAAAAAAUAAAACAUUUCAUGCAUGUGAUUAUGUGUUAUGUGAGCGCGAAAACACCUCCAAUUUGAUUAUGUGUUAUGUGAGCGAAUGCAUGCACAGCAAUAAAAGGUUGUUUUCGCGAUUAGGUGUUGGAAACUCAAAUUGGAGGUGUGACAAGUCAUGGACAACACCUAGUCUCCGAAAGUUGCACAUAUUAAGAGCAUCUCCAAUGGUGAGAGUCCCCCAUGGGCUCUCACCAAUUGUUUAAACAUAUUUUUUUUUGAAUUUUUAGAUGAGAACUUGGGGUUUUUUUUUUUAAUUUUCAUAGUCUAAUGGUAGUUUCUCUUGUGGGGUUCUUAAAAUUUUUUUUUUUUAAAAUAUUUUGAUUUUGAUGUAAUAUGAUGUUUGGUUUUGAUGUAAUUUGAUGAAUUAGGACAAAGUAAUUGGUGUAAUUAGUGUUUGGUGUUUCAAGAGUUCAUAAUCACAUCAAAAACUUGUCAAAUGCAAAAAAUAGAUUCAUGAUCUACACAUAUUAAACUUGUCAAAUGCAAAACAGAGAUUCAUGAUCUACACAUAUUUUGAUUUGAGUGUCUUGUCUCCUACUUGGCCUAUACAAGACAGAUUUGGUGUCUUCUACAUCAAAAACACAUUCAAAACAAAGCACGUUCAAAUUUAAUAGCAUAGACAAUUCACAAGCAACAUUGAACUUGCCUUCUCCACUGCCUUUCUCCUCUUGGCUUCUCCAUUUGCAGUUCUCCAUUUAUACUCAACAAAAACAGAGAGAAAUAAAGCACAUUAGCAUAAACAAUUCACAUUCAAAAACUAUAUAUUGAUUCAACAACCUAAUCAAACACAACCAACCACACUUUCUAAUUUCUCAACAACCAACAAAAUUGUUAGGCUACAAACGUUUAGAAAACGGAAUCAAAACGUCCAUGAGCUUCUUGAAUCUCUCUUUAGUGCUCUCUUCAAUCUCCUUCAAAAGCUUCUCAUUCCCUUCCUCUAAUUUCGCAGCCAAAGUCUCUAACUCAACUUGAUAAGCUUGUUUCCUCUCUCGAGACCUAGCAGCGGAUUCACGGUUCUUGAUCAUCCUCUUCUGUCUUUGAGCUGCAGCUUUAUCCAUUGCCUUCGUCAUCACUCUCCCUCUCUUUCCUCUCAUUCCUCCUCCUCCAACCAUUGAUCCUUCAAUCAUCUGAAACGAACUGUGUUGCUGCGGCUGAGACAUCAUUGGAAAAUCGAAUGUAUAGCUACCGUCGUUGCCUCCGUCAUCACUCUCCCUCUCUUUCCGUUGUUAACGUUGUUCCGAUCCUUUGUACCAAAACGUGAAGCUUGAAGUUGGUUGUUCUCAGGGCAGACCAUAGGAGUUUAACCUAGCAUUGCCAAACCUGUUAUUUAGAUUAGUGGAUUAGUGGAGUUCACAAUUAAGAAACUGAUUCCAAACAGAAAUAAAGACCUUAAUUCAAGAGCAGCAACAUCAUUAAACUCAGUAUAUGCUUCUAAGGUUAAUAAACUGAAUCAAAUACACCUAGAACAUUACAAUCAAGUACUUAUCAUACAACUAGGCAAGUUAUCGUAUCUCUGCUUCUAAGUUAGUUUCCACGUUUUACCACAAUGUUUUAUACAUAGGUUCAUACAUAUAAAGCUCUCAUGAUUUAGAAUCAAACAAAAACUACCUUUCGAUUACUCCAUCAAGGCAUGAUCUUCUUCCCAAGAAGCAAGAUGCACACACUCACACUAUCACCCACUUAAAGAUCUUGUUCAACACUAGAAAGUAACUUUUCUUUUGACUACUUCAGAAGCAGCUGAAAGAUAUGAUUACAACAACAAAACCCAGCGUUUUUCCAGCAAAUUCUAAAAUGAUGGAACACCCAAGAGAGAAAAAAUAGCAUCUUGCGUGAUGAUAUCAAAGAGUAUCAUCUCCAAACUAGUUUGAGCAAGUUUCAAAAAUCAGUUUGAUCAUCUUCAACCUAAGCUACACAAGAUCAAUUUGCAAAUAGUAAACUUAAAAUUCCCACCUCACAAACAUAUCUACACACAAAAAUUCCAUGAAACCUUAAGGAACCCCAGAAACAACAAAACGAAAACCCUAAUUAUGACAACUAAUUGCGCAAAUCUACACACACAAAAUUGGAGGAUUAACGCAGACAACAAAACACCACCCGAAGCAAGUUUUCCAAUUUCAUGGAGAAAUUGAUAGUGGGGAAAGCUUUAAUCUAAACCUAAUUUAUUAUUUGAUGAUCGAGACGGCGGAUGAUGAUGAUCGAGACAUGAUCACAAAUCUCCUCUGUUUUUGCAGUGGGAGAGAAAGAGAGGAGGAAGAGAGAGAGAAAACACGAACGUCGUUUUUUUGUUUCCUUUCAUAUUAAACGCAUUGACUCACACGACGACACGUCAGCGGCUCUCUCUGAUUCUCAAAUGUCUCUCAAGAGAAUCGGUUCUUUGAUUAUUUAGUAGUUUUGAUUUAUUUUAAUUGCAAUUAAACAAGAGAACCCCACAAUUUUUACUUGAAAACCUUGCUUUGGAGAUGCUCUUAUUAUAUCAUGAAAAAACAAAAAAAAAGUCCAAAUAACUAUAAUUUUUGGUUAUUAGUUAUUAGCAUAUACAAGAGUUAGUAUACAUACUUGCAUAGUCUAAAUGUGAUGUUUUGUAUAUUUAUACUAGCAUUUUUGCAACACUUUGGUGACGGGUGGGUAAAAAUGCUUCUGGGUUAAUCAGAUAUCCGACCCGUUUUUUAAAAUCCUUCACAAAAAAAUUGUUGGAUCGGAUUAUAUUUAACCCAACUCAUACACCGGAUAUUUCAUAUUUAAUAAUUUAGAUAUUUAGAAGAUUUGAUUAAGAUUUAGAAUUAUGAUUCUCCUAUUAUCUUUGUUUGAUUUGUUUUUAACUGUUUUGAAUCAUCAUAGAAUACAUAAAAGUAAAAAAAAAACCAAUUUUUUUUUCUGCAUAUACUGUGAUUCGAAAUUUUUAAAACGGACAUAUAUUAUCUAAUUGACGAAAAUGUGUGUUCAACGUUCUACAUCGAUUAAAAUAUUUAGAUAAUGAUUCAGAAUCAUAUCAUAAAUAAGAUCAACAUUAAUAAAAUAAAUGAGUUUUUUAGCCAGACGGGUUUGGCGGGACGGGUUUUUGAAUCAACAAAUAAUAAAAAAUUAAAAUAUCAUUAAUCUGCCGCUUCAAUACGGAUUAAAUCUUUUUUUUAAUACCACCAAUAUUAGACAUAUUAAAUCAGUCUCAUUUAGAAAAGAUUGUAUAAAACCAAAAAUUGUCCCGUGGUAUAAUGUUACUUAAUAACAAUAUUUAUAAAAUUUAAAUAUCAUUAACAUGCCGCUUUAAUACAUAUUAAAUCUUCAGUUUAUUAAAAUAUAAAUGUCUUAGAGAAUGAUAUGAUUUGUAAACUUUUAUAUAUAAUAAAUAAUCAUUAAAUAUUAAAAUAAAAACAAAUAACGGGACGGGUUGAGAAAUUACGGAACGAGUUAUAUUUCGGAAAAGAUUUAUAUGGCGGACGAAUUUGAAUCAAUAUUUAUAUACCGCUUUAAUACGGGUUAAAUCCUUAGUAUAUUAAUAAUUGUCUCGUGGACUCUUGGUAUACCGUUACUUAAUAACAAUUGUAAACAAUAAUAUAAAUAAAUAUGUUAUAAGGAGAUACAAUUUACAAAAUAUUUUUAUACUAACUUUAAAAUUAAAUCAUCCCGCGAUGUACCGCAGGUUAAAAUCUAGUAUAAUAUUAUAACUUCAAGAAAUCGCUAUUUUGGAUGAACAAGAAAUUAAAACUUUUCCAAAUCACUAGCUCCCGCGACAUGUCAAUCAAUAUUGUUUUGUUCAUAAGUUUUUUAAUAAACAAUACUGUAUUUGUUAUGACAUCUCCUAGUUCGAUCGGGCCUGAAGUAUUGUCUGGUUUAAUUUGGUUUCGGUUUAGUUCGAUUGGUUAAUUUGAUAAAAUCUAAAUUUGAAAUCGAUGUAUAUAUUCUUUUUUCUUUAUUUUUAUUCAGAAUGAAUUUGCAUCUACUAAUCAUAGAGUAGGCUUUAGUAAAUAGGAGACCAGUACUGGUUUAAUAGGACGGCAACAUCAGUAAGCUAGUUAAGUAGUUGCAUAAAAAGAAAUUAAGUAGAUGAGUUUAGUAAUUACAUCGAGGAAUUGGGAAUGAGAUACGUUCUUGCCACCAAAAAGAGAUUCCAAAUUGGUAAGGGCCAUAUCUUCGUUGGGCAGUUGAGAAUAAGUCUUGCCUGAGUCAUUUUUUCGAUCCUUAUUUGGAACUUGAUAAACAAACCUCUCAUUUAUUACGGUGUAUAGUGCUAAUUACAUUAGCCUCAAACAUCCUAAGCUUACAGUUUUAUAAAACACACACGAUGACUGUGUAUAGUAUUAACAUACAUCAAUAGCCACACUCAUGAUCAUCGUGCUAGGGCUUGGAAUCUAGUAGUAAGGAGGGAAGAAAGGGAUGGUGCUCUGGAAGGGACAUUCACCAACUUGCUGGAUUUUGCAAACGUUAGGCAAGUACUUAGCUGUCUGGUAAAUUUUCCUGGAUUCGAAUGGUCCGUGCUGUCCCUGGAGUCUAACAGCUCUAGCCGCCUGUUUCAAGGUGGGGCAAACGCAAACUGGCUCUUCCUGGCGAAGCUCGUUGCAGCACUGCUGGAGUAGCUGGUGUCCCUGCUGGGGGCCCUGUGGGUUCUCCAUGUCGUCUUCGAAAUCGAACUCAUCGCCACGACCUUGCCUUGUUUGCUUCUGCAUCCAUCUCUGGCAAGCUCUUAGGUGCUGUGAUUGCUGGAACUCCUUCUGGCAUCUCUGUCUUGGGCCCAUGGGGUUGGUGGCGUCAUCUUCCUCGAACUCGACGACUGUGCGGUAGAUGGAAGCGUUGGUGAGGAGGAAGCAGAGGGCGAGAGUUGCGCAGACGAGGAAGAGCUUGUUUGCCAUUUUUUGCUAUUUGUGUAUGUUUUCUUGUUUUGGUUUGAGUGAAGAGUGUAGUGAAGGGUUGGUUUUUAUUUAUAGGUGACAAAGGAGAUUUGCAUGGCAAUCACGUGUAAGAAUGCAUGAGUGUGUGUGGAGUCAUGGAGAGAGAGAUUCUCUUACGUUGUUGUCGGGAUUAGGUGUUGGAAAAGAGUGACAAGUGACGAACAAUACCACUCCUAGGCUCCUAGCUCCGCUUCUGCAUGCUAUGUGUGAUUUGUAGCUCAUUUUCUGACAUGACAUUAUGAACGAUUAUAUUUUUUAGAAUUAAGAAGGUAAAACUUUUUUAGUAAAACACACUUUUAAUUUGGUUUUGAUCGAAUGAGAUGCGAAUUCAAUCUUUUGGUGGUAGUGCUGUUGGAAAUAUAGUUUUGUGAGCUUAAUCAGAAACUUAGAAUUUUAAAAUAAAUCUAUAUAGUCACGCAGGCCCGGCUCACUCAUCGGUAAGACCCGGUGCCAUACAAAAAAAAAUCUUAUCUUUAAUAAAAAAUUUAUAUAUAUAUAUAUAUAUAUAUAUUUACAAAAAGUUAUAUUUCAUAAAUUAUUUUGUAUUUUAUAGCUAUUUGGACAUGUUAUUUUUGUUUAUUAAUUUUGGGGCUCAAUAUUACCUUUUAAAAUAAAAUUUUGGGACCUUUACAUAUGGAUAUUGUAUAAAAUUUCAGCAUAAUUAAAUAAUUAAAUAAUAAAAAAACUAUGAAUUUGGACCUUAAAUUUGUUGGACCCGGUGCAAAUGCACCACUUGCACAUGCCAAUAACCGGCCCUGUAGUCACGGUUCACGAACCAUGUAAUAAAAUUUUAUAAAAUAUGAGGGAUAUAUAUUAAAAAAAAAUUCAUAAAUAUUUAACCCUCUAAAUGACUCGUACAAAAAAUACAAACAAUAAGUAAUUUAUCUCUUACAUAAAAUCAGUGGUAAUAAAUUAAAGUUAAGAAAUAAAACCGAAAUAUGUGAGACACACACAUAAUUAGAGGUGUCAAAAACUCAAAAUGCGUCAAAAUUAAACUUAUAGAUUUACCAAAACAUUAUAACCCAAACCGUGAACUACAAGUCAAAGAAAGUAUCAGGAACCAUGUUUUGACUGAAAAUUCAAAAGAGAGAGAUGAAGAGAAUGAGAAGAAGAUAUACAAAAUAUUUUACGAAUUCUGAAUCGAGAGUUAGUACAUCGACUAGUUCAAUCUAGCAAUUACUAUGUUUUUCAUUUCAAAGAGUUAGAAUGACUCAAAGAUAUGAAUGAUACAAAAUCCGAUCCAUAAGACCCAUUAUAUUCUCGAACUUUCCAACCACGUUUAGCUUAAACCAAAGUAAACCCUUUCAAAACCAGACUAAUGGCUCUUUCAGAAAUCUGCAUGCAGCUCUUAACCAGAACUAAUUGUGUUCCCAGAACAACAUCAACACGUUUUUACAAGACAUUGUUUUCUCUGUUUGUUUGAUUGGUAACGUUUUACACUCUUGACCACAAUGGCUAGCCCUUUUUUACAACAAUUGUUAGCGACUAUCGGUCAAACCGAUCAUGUAUGUAAAUUAUAUCAUUUUUGAAUUUCGCUUCCACGGGAUCAUAUCUAAUGUACAAUUAAAUGGCAUGUCUCUUCCACUUGAUGGCGUGCAAAUUCUUGAGGCCAAAAUAGAUAUUAAAACGCACGUGGUAGGGCGGUGGUAACUGGGACUAUGGUGUAAAUACAGACCAGCAUGAUGCUUCAUUCUUAUAGAGAACAAAUUUUCUGCGUGUUGGAUCACUUGGAACUGUGCUUUGGUCAAGUGUUUUAUCCAUGGUGUAGUUUGCCGCACACUCUUGCAAACAAAUUAUUCACCCUUGAAAGUAGUCAGCGCAUAGCCCUAAGUUUUAGUAUGUGUGCAGUGCCGGUCCGGUGAAAUCCGGGGCCAAAUACGAAAAGAAAAAUUGGGGUUUUUUUUAAAAGUAGAAACUGCUAAAAAAUUUUUUUUUGCUAAUUAUGGAGCAUUUAUAAUUUUUAUUUAACAAUUUUUCUUAAAUUUUAAAGAUUUUUUGCUAAUUAUGAGGCCUUUUUGCUAAUUGUGAAGUCUUUUUUUGUUAAUUUUUGAGGCCUCUUUUACUAUUUUGAAGCUUUUUUUUGUUAAUUUUUGAGGCCUCUUUUACUAAUUUUGAAGUCUAUUUCAUAAUUUUAGGGCCUCAAAAAAAAAAAAAAAAAAUUCUUCACAAAAUGAGCCUCGAAAAUUUGAGACCCAAUACAAAUGAUUCACCAAAAUGGGUGAAGGGCCGGGCCUGUAUGUGUACGCGCGAGUCGGUGACUGAACACCAAGUGCUAUACCAAGAAAGAAAUAGCUAGCAUGCAAAAAUGUUCUUUGCAUAUAUCAUAUCAUGCCUGGGCAUUCGGAUUUCAGAUCGGAUUCGGUUCGGAUUUAUUCGGAUUCAGAUAAUUCGGGUAGGAGAUUUUAUUAUCCGUUCGGAUUUUAUGACUAUUCGGAUCGGAUUCGGUUCGGAUAGUAUCGGAUUCGGAUCGGUUUCAGAUCGGUUUUGGAUUGUUUUUCGAGUAAAAAAAACUAAAAAAUGUUCAAUUCAAAUAAAAAAAUAGUUUAAUCUUACUAAAAUUUGGCUAAGUUUUCCAAAAAUAUGUAUAAUUUUAACAAAUAUAACUAAAAACUUUCUGAUAUCUAGGUUAUUUAGGAUAUUUUUGUUAUUUGUUAUAAAAUUAUAGCUAAAUAUAACUAAUAUUUUUGGAUAUAUAAUUUUAUUUUCGGUUUUCGGAUAUCCUUUCGGUUUUCGGUUCAGAUGUGGUUCGAUUCGGAUAAUUCGGAUAGGAGAAUUCAUUAUCUGUUCGGGUUUUGUGACUAUUUGGUUCGGAUUCGGAGCCAGAUUUUUUGGAUCGGUUUCGGAUUGGUUUUCGGAUUUUAUGCCCAGGCCUAAUCAUAUGGAUAAAUGUUUAAUACUUAAGAGUUGAUAAGAUGAUCUAGAAUUAGUUGCAAAUUAUCUUCACCAUAUCUUCAGUUGUGAGAAACAUAUAAUUGAUUGUUAGAGCCUAGAGGGGCACAGUCAUAGAGCAGUUUUUAAUUGGUAUUUUGCUUAACCUGUAAAUUUGAUUGAAAAAUAUUUCGGACCACCUAGAGAGAGCGUAUGCAAGUGAAAAUUAAACAUAAACAAAACUCUUAUUUAUUAAGGACUUGUGCUAAUUACAUUAAUCUCAAACAUCCAAAACUUACAUUUUCAUAAAACACACGAUGAGGUGUGGUGUUAACAUGUAUCAACAACCACACGCUCAUACGCUCGAUGGUUUUGUUUGGAAUCUAGUAGUAAGGAGGGAAGAAGGGGAUGGUGGUCUGGAAGGGGCAUUCACCAACUUGCUGGAUCCUGCAAACCUUAGGCAAGUACUUAGCUGUCUGGUAAAUUUUCCUGGAUUGGAAUGGUCCGUGCUGUCCCUGGAGUCUAACGGCUCUAGCCGCCUGUUUCAAGGUGGGGCAAACGCAAACUGGCUCUUCCUGGCGAAGCUCGUUGCAGCACUGCUGGAGUAGCUGGUGUCCCUGCUGGGGGCCCUGUGGGUUCUCCAUAUCGUCUUCGAAAUCGAACUCAUCUUCACCACCACGACCUUGCCUUGUUUGCUUCUGCAUGAAUCUCUGGCAAGCUCUUAGGUGCUGUGAUUGCUGGAACUCCUUCUGGCAUCUCUGUCUUGGGCCCAUGGGGUUGGUGGCGUCAUCUUCGUUGAACUCGACGACGGUGCGGUAGAUGGAAGCGUUGGUGAGGAGGAAGCAGAGGGCGAGAGUUGCGCAGACGAGGAAAAGCUUGUUCGCCAUUUGGUAUUUGUAUGUGUUCUUACUCGUUAUUUGUGAUGAUG